UACAGAGGUCCCAAGCGUUGUUCGGAUUCAUUGGGCGUAAAGGGUGCGUAGGUGGCGGGGUAAGUUGGAUGUGAAAUCCCGGGGCUCAACCCCGGAACUGCAUUCAAUACUGCUCUGCUAGAGUACUGGAGAGGAGAUUGGAAUUCAUGGUGUAGCAGUGAAAUGCGUAGAUAUCAUGAGGAAGACCAGUGGCGAAGGCGGAUCUCUGGACAGUUACUGACACUGAGGCACGAAGGCCAGGGGAGGCAAACGGG
rnacentral:rRNA from 1 species